rnacentral:lncRNA from 1 species
AUGACUCCUAACAGUACAAUUAUCACAGGCGCUUCAUAUGUUUCAUUUCAGGGGAAAUUAAUGGUAGGGUCACCACUAAACUUUGCACUUUAACUUCAUGCUACUCAUGUCCCAGAUCACCAAGGGUGCUGGGCCCAGGAUUGAGAUAAGUCUGAGUCUGUCUGAAAGGUGGAGAUGCCAUGGUUCUAUUUUCACAAAGCCCAGAGGAAUCCCAUCAGAAGGAAGUCAUGACAAGGAAAAGAGUGGCAGAACUACCCAAAGCCUUCAGCAAUUCCAGGGUCGACUAGGUUCAGUUUCAAGGAAAGCCAAAGCGAGUGACUUGGACCUGAGGGAUAAGGAACAAAUGUGGGCACUGCAAGAACAAGUUCUUGGAACACCUGUGACGGGGUGGGCAGGGAGCAAGACCCAGAACUAUGGGAGGACCUUGAGAGGUUUGAUUCCUAUAGACCCUGUGGAGAUACACUUCUUUAUAUUCAUGUUUGUUACUUUGGUCUUACUCUCAGCAUACUGUCACCCCAAAACCAUGGACUGCUUUUAUAUCCCUCUAGUAAGAAUAGAAAGUAUCUAUUAUUAUUAUUAUAUAAUAAUAUCUAUUCAUUAUUAUAUCUAGUCACUUGUGAUGGAACAUGAUGGAGGAUAACGUGAGAAAAAGAAUGUGUAUAUAUAUAUAUGACUGGGUCACUGCUGUACAGCGGAAAUUGACAUAACAUUGUAAAUCAACUAUAAUAGAAAAAAUAAAAACCUUAAAAAAAAGAAAAGUACAUUUACUAGGAAAUCAAUUAUCCAAGAUGGAAAAAAAAAAUCCCUAAAUAGCAUUCAAUCUUCCAAAUAAAAAUUCUUCAUUCUUGGGUCAGACUGAUAAAUGAGAUGGCAUUUAGACCCAUUGAUUCGAUUCGUCCCUUUACGGAGCCAUCAGACACACGACGGAAAUGCUCUUUAGUGUCAUCCUGCUUUCUUAGUACUGUGUAGCUAGUCACCUUUCUAUCAUUUGUAUCCGAACAAUAUUUUAGAACAACCAAUAACAACUUCAAGAGGACAAUUUUGACACACUUCACAGCUCCUUCCUAUUACAUUAAUGCGUAAAUUGAAUUCCCUCUCAAGAUGGGGGAAAAAGUAAAAGGUUGGCUUCCCAAAAAUGUUUUCAUUGGCUUUAGGGAACUAAAAUGCACCAGUCUGGGUGACUAAUACUUCCUGGAAAAUAAAGAUAGAUCAACACAUAAUUAAGUUCUGGCUCAAAUAUAAUUGUUGUCUUGGAAACAGUUUUGGGGUAAAUAUGGUUAUGCUAAUGAAACUUUUCAUGAUUUCCACCAAUGAUCCAGUUUAUUAACUAGGCCAGACCAUCUUACUACCUUAUGCUACAAAUUUUGGAAUAUUCAAGGGGUUAAAAAAGUUCCUAAGAGAACUGUGACAAGGAGGGAAAGGGAUACAUCUUAAAUUCGUUAUUUAUCAGCUUUCAUAAGGCUUCCAGUUGGAGGAGUAGGUUAAGAGUGCUUUUUGGCGUAUUUGUGGCUUUCAAACAUCCUUCCUACUUCAUUAAACAGAAAACUAUAUAUACCGCGUUUUGAAUUAAUAAUUCCUAGCGUUAUUUCUCUGAACUCCCUCUUCGGAGGAUUUAAAAUGAGACGAACUCAAGAGGAACACGCGACACCAAAGCCCUCAAGUAGCCAGUGUUUUCUAGUUCCAGCUUUCAGUAAAGAGUUUUGUAGGAAGUUUCUACUCACAGCGUAGCCCAAAGGGCAGCUUGCCUGCUCUGGAGGUUUUGGUCGAGGCCCAGUGUGAACUCCGGGCGCGAGAGCGCAUCCCGGCUCUGAGAUCACACCCACUCGGGGUGUGCGUGAGUGAGU